AAAGAAACUAACAAGGAUUCCCUUAGUAGCGGCGAGCGAAGCGGGAUGAGCUCAAAUUUGAAAUCUGGCGUCUUUCAGGCGUCCGAGUUGUAAUCUAUAGAAGCGUUUUCUGUGCUGGACCGUGUCCAAGUCCCUUGGAACAGGGUAUCAAAGAGGGUGACAAUCCCGUACUUGACAUGACCACCAGUGCUCUGUGAUACGUUUUCUACGAGUCGAGUUGUUUGGGAAUGCAGCUCAAAAUGGGUGGUAAAUUCCAUCUAAAGCUAAAUAUUGGCGAGAGACCGAUAGCGAACAAGUACCGUGAGGGAAAGAUGAAAAGCACUUUGGAAAGAGAGUUAAACAGUACGUGAAAUUGUUGAAAGGGAAACGAUUGAAGUCAGUCGUGUCUAUUGGUUUCAGCCGGUCCCCGCCGGUGUAUUACCUUUAGACGGGUCAACAUCAGUUUUGGACGGCGGAUAAGAGCAGUUAGAACGUAGCACCUCCGGGUGUGUUAUAGCUUUCUGUUGCAUACGCUGUCCGAGACUGAGGACUGCAGCUCGCCGCAAGGCCGGGGUUCGCCCACGUUACGAGCUUAGGAUGUUGACAUAAUGGCUUUAAACGACCCGUCUUGAAACACGGAC
rnacentral:rRNA from 1 species